CUUUGUUAUAUACCCUUUGUUGGCAAUGACACAGGUCAAACGUUUUCUGUAAGUCUUCACAAGGUUUUCACACACUGUUGCUGGUAUUUUGGCCCAUUCCUCCAUGCAGAUCUCCUCUAGAGCAGUGAUGUUUUGGGACUGUCGCUGGGCAACACGGACUUUCAACUCCCUCCAAAGAUUUUCUAUGGGGUUGAGAUCUGGAGACUGGCUAGGCCACUCCAGGAUCUUGAAAUGCUUCUUACGAAGCCACUCCUUCAUUGCCCGGGCGGUGUGUUUGGGAUCAUUGUCAUGCUGAAAGACCCAGCCACAUUUCAUCUUCAAUGCCCUUGCUGAUGGAAGGUUUUCACUCAAAAUCUGACCAUACAUGGCCCCAUUCAUUCUUUCCUUUACACGGAUCAGUCGUCCUGGUCCCUUUGCAGAAAAACAGCCCCAAAGCAUGAUGUUUCCACCACCAUGCUUCACAGUAGGUAUGGUGUUCUUUGGAUGCAACUCAGCAUUCUUUGUCCUCCAAACACGACGAGUUGAGUUUUUACCAAAAAGUUAUAUUUUGGUUUCAUCUGACCAUAUGACAUUCUCCCAAUCCUCUUCUGGAUCAUCCAAAUGCUCUCUAGCAAACUUCAGAAGGGUCUGGACAUGUACUGGCUUAAGCAGGGGGACACGUCUGGCACUGCAGGAUUUGAGUCCCUGGCGGCGUAGUGUGUUACUGAUGGUAUGCUUUGUUACUUUGGUCCCAGCUCUCUGCAGGUCAUUCACUAGGUCCCCCCGUGUGGUUCUGGGACUUUUGCUCACCGUUCUUGUGAUCAUUUUGACCCCACGGGGUGAGAUAUUGCGUGGAGCCCCAGAUCGAGGGAGAUUAUCAGCGGUCUUGUAUGUCUUCCAUUUCCUAAUAAUUGCUCCCACAGUUGAUUUCUUCAAACCAAGCUGCUUACCUAUUGCAGAUUCAAUCUUCUCAGCCUGGUGCAGGUCUACAAUUUUGUUUCUGGUGUCCUUUGACAGCUUUGGUCUUGGCCAUAGUGGAGUUUGGAGUGUGACUGUUUGAGGUUGUGGACAGGUGUCUUUUAUACUGAUAACAAGUUCAAACAGGUGCCAUUAAUACAGGUAACGAGUGGAGGACAGAGGAGCCUCUUAAAGAAGAAGUUACAGGUUUGUGAGAGCCAGAAAUCUUGCUUGUUUGUAGGUGACCAAAUACUUAUUUUCCACCAUAAUUUGCAAAUAAAUUCAUAAAAAAUCCUACAAUGUGAUUUUCUGGAUUUCUUUUCUUAUUUUGUCUGUCAUAGUUGACGUGUACCUAUGAUGAAAAUUACAGGCCUCUCUCAUCUUUUUAAGUGGGAGAACUUGCACAAUUGGUGGCUGACUAAAUACUUUUUUGCCCCACUGUAUAUGCAUACAUACACAACCCAUUCACUCUUGCAGGAAAAAUGUUUAUCUAUACUGAACAAAAAUAUAAAUGCAACAAUUUCAAUGAUUUUACUCAGUUAAAGUUCAUAUAAGGAAAUGUGUCAAUUAAAAUAAAUUCAUUACGCCCUAAUCUAUGGAUUUCACAUGACUGGCCAGGGGCGCAAUCAUGGCUGGGCCCGGGAGGGCAUAGGCCCACCCACUUGGGAGCCAAGCCCACCCACUGGGGAGCCAGUCCCAGCCAAUCAGAAAGUGUUUUUCCCCACAGAAGGGCUUUAUUACAGACAGAUAUACUCCUCAGUUUCAUCAGCUGUCUGGGUGGCUGGUCUCAGAUGACCCCGCAGGUGAAGAAGCCGGAUGUAGAGGUCCUGGAUUGGUGUGGUUACAUGUGGUCUGCGGUUGUGAGGCCCGUUGGCCCAAAUUCUCUAAAGUGACAUUGGAGGCAGCUUAUGGCAGAGAAAUUAACAUUAAAUUCUCUGGCAACAGCUCUGGUGGACAUUCCUGCAGUCAGCAUGCCAAUUGCAAGCUCCCUCAAAACUUGACACAUCUGUGGCAUUGUGUUGUGUGACAAAACUGCACAUUUUAGUGGCCUUUCAUUGUCCCCAGCAUCUGUGUAAUGAUCAUGCUGUUUAAUCAGCUUCUUGAUAUGCCACACCUGUCAGGUGGAUGGAUUAUCUUGGCAAAGGAGAAAUGCUCACUAACAGGGAUGUAAACAAAUCAACAAGGGAGAAAAGGGCCAAUAGUGAUCCACAUGAUGGCAACCAUUCCCAGAGGAAUUCAGACAAACAGAAGAGCAAAGAUGACGAGGAGAGUCAGAGGAGAUCGAGACAGGACCAAAUGAAAAGGAAAGACACUCUUGUGAAGGAACUGGAGGAAUUGCUAAAGCAGGAUGGGUCUACCUUUUUGAUUCCGGUCAUCGGGUUCUACUGUCAGAGGUGUGAGGAGUUCUUCGGAGACCUGACCACUGCUGAGGGCCAUGCUGCAACCCACCGGCGGAAUGAGCCUAGCAUGCAGCAGCAUGGAGACAGACGACCUGGAGAGGACAGAAGACACCCUAGCCAUUACAUCGGGCACCCCCUGGCUCCAGAGCGGAGGGACCAGAGAGACCCAAGAGAUCAGAGGUAUCGCAAACUAGACGAGGGCCCAAAGGGUUACAGGAACGACAGGGAGAAGAUCUACGUGAAAGAGGAACGACCUGGAAGCCCCAGGAUAAAGAUGACGGUGGUCCGCGGGCACACCCCACCAGGUCUGCAGAAGGCCAGGGGGAGAGAGGAGGGGAGGGUGGAUAAGGGCUCUUGUGCUGCUUCCUCUGGCCCUGCCAGUGGGAAAUAUGAUAGGGUCAAACUGGAGGAGGUGGAGACCAAAGGAAAGCCCAACGUGGAAGUAUGUGACAAAGAUAAAGGAGAAAGCAGUUCUAGCAGUGAUGACGAGAAAGACAAAUCUCCUAAAGGCAACAAAAAGAAAAAGAAGAAGGAGAAGAAGAAGAAGAAGAAGAAGAAGCAAAGGGGUUAGAAGUAAUAGCUGCUGUACUGCAUGUCCUGGUUUGAUUGUACUGUAUCUCUGGAGGACCUGGCCUUGGGUCAUUGUUUGGCAUCAUUGCAGCUGUUUUCAGAAGUUGGUGCUUUUAACAUUAGAAAGAAGCAGUGUUCCUCUGAUUUGUUCUCUCCUUUUGGGGUUGUCUUUUUUUUCCAACAAACUGUGUUCCUCUGUUGUAGUGGAUAACAGGACAUUUUCAUUGAAUGCUGUUGGAGGACAGGACGUUCCAGGGUGCAUAUGCAGCAUUUAUGAUGUCCAGAAUCAUUUUGCUGCCAGCUACUGAUCCUAUUGUUCAGACCUUUAGUUACUGUAGAUGUGCAUUAAAUAACCCUCCUUAUAUUGGGCCAUGUUUGUGUAUAUUUCACCCAGUACAACCUUGAUUUAGUGCUUCAAGUACUAUCAAAUGUACUUUUGCCAUUUAAAGGUCAACUGCCAUUUGAAGCGUGUGCUGUCUUUCUUCCUAAUGUUAAACCGUUGAGAUGGAAUUAUUCUGUAAUGAAGAAAUUUUUAUACAUUGUCCUCUUAUUUAGGUCUCAGCAAUUGAUGGCGCAAGGCUAUUUGCAAGCGCACAUGUGCUUGCCAAAGUCAUUGGAUCCUAUCAGGAUAGGAACAGUUGACAUGUUUUUGUAAGGUGAUCACUUUUUUUUUUUUGUCUGCUGUUGCUCACUCUCACUUCCUCUUUCUCACACACUAGGCAUUUCCAUUGAUCCAGGUUUAUUCGACAAAAGCAAUGUCAGGGGAAAAAAAUAUUCUGCCGUGUAAUAGAAACGGCAGAUAUAGGAGACAUUUUAAAGCUCGACAACAUUUUUAUCCAUUCGAUAGGGUUCUAUUUUUCUUUUGUUGAACUUUCUUUACUGCAACUAAUGAGGG
rnacentral:lncRNA from 1 species